rnacentral:rRNA from 1 species
AUUGAACGCUGGCGGCAUGCUUUACACAUGCAAGUCGAACGGCAGCGCGGGCUUCGGCCUGGCGGCGAGUGGCGAACGGGUGAGUAAUGCAUCGGAACGUGCCCAGUCGUGGGGGAUAGCCCGGCGAAAGCCGGAUUAAUACCGCAUCCGACCUGAGGGUGAAAGCGGGGGACCGAAAGGCCUCGCGCUAUUGGAGCGGCCGAUGUCGGAUUAGCUAGUUGGUGGGGUAAAGGCUUACCAAGGCGACGAUCCGUAGCUGGUCUGAGAGGACGACCAGCCACACUGGGACUGAGACACGGCCCAGACUCCUACGGGAGGCAGCAGUGGGGAAUUUUGGACAAUGGGGGCAACCCUGAUCCAGCUAUGCCGCGUGCGGGAAGAAGGCCUUCGGGUUGUAAACCGCUUUUGUUCGGGAAGAAAUCCUCUGGGCUAAUACCCCGGAGGGAUGACGGUACCGGAAGAAUAAGCACCGGCUAACUACGUG